UAUCUCAGCUGACUACAACUGAAGGGCAGAGGGACUAUCCUGCCAAAUGUUCCAAAGGCAGAUAGAUAGAACUACUUUACAGAUACUGGGACUGGACACCACAGUGCUAUUUCUUCUUGAAGGACACCCCAAUGGCUUAUGAAGGCUGAUGCUGGAGCACACCGUGGGUGGUGCCACCUCUGGACUGGUGAUCUUGAGUGUUAGAAGACAGCAGACUGAGCCAGCACCAUCUUCUGCCUCCAAGUUCCUACACUGUUUGAGUUCCUGCCCUGACCGCCUUCCACAUUAGAUUGUGAUACAGAAAUACUUAUUGACUUCUCUCCAGCCAGACUUUGUUUACAUCACUAUUGAGUCUGCUUUUAAUCAAGUCAGCAAUAUGUCAAUGCCCAAUCCAAUGGAAAUUGGUGGUUUUCAUCUUGACCCAUAGGAUUGGGAAAGUUGUUUAAACAAAGGAGAUGAAUAAAAUGACAGAGCAGUGGUGGCCUCUUCUCAGGGGUGAAAACCAAAACUGCUGAUUAGAAGAAAAGUAUGUUCAUGACCUUGAACUGGGCAUAUAGUUGUUAAACACGAAUUUGAAGAAUACAAUUUCAUAAAGGAUGAAGUCUCGAAGGAUCAUUAAAGGGAUGCUACUGAAAGGAUAAGUGUUGCUUAACCUUUUAUAUUUGUAUAGUAUAGUCUAUAUGUAAGCAUAAGUAUAGGUAUUUUGGCAAACAAAUAGUUUAUGACUCUUUUCUUUUAAGGCAAAUGAAUCCAGAGUGGUAAAAACCAGAUUGCAGAGAAGUCAGGGGUGUCUAAAUGGCUCAGCAGAGACAGCAGGUGCAAGCUAUUCUUUUAAGGAAUUAGGUGCCCAGGUAGAGGAGAACUGGGAACUUAAUGAAGGAGCAAGGAGAGAUA